GCGCCGGUGGUGUAAUGCGAACAUUGCUGCCCGGAAAGCAGAAGAUGCGGGUUCGAGUCCCGCUUCGUGCA
rnacentral:tRNA from 1 species